UACGUAGGGUGCGAGCGUUGUCCGGAAUUACUGGGCGUAAAGAGCUCGUAGGUGGUUUGUCGCGUUGUCCGUGAAAACUCACAACUCAAUUGUGGGCGUGCGGGCGAUACGGGCAGACUGGAGUACUGCAGGGGAGACUGGAAUUCCUGGUGUAGCGGUGGAAUGCGCAGAUAUCAGGAGGAACACCGGUGGCGAAGGCGGGUCUCUGGGCAGUAACUGACGCUGAGGAGCGAAAGCUAGGGGAGCGAACGGG
rnacentral:rRNA from 1 species